CCUACGGGUGGCAGCAGUGAGGAAUAUUGGUCAAUGGACGAGAGUCUGAACCAGCCAAGCCGCGUGAAGGAUGACUGCCCUAUGGGUUGUAAACUUCUUCUAUAUGGGAAUAAGAUGUUACAUGUGUGGGAUUUUGUAUGUACCAUAUGAAUAAGGAUCGCCUCACUCCGUUCCAGCAGCCGCGGUAAUACGGAGGAUCCGAGCGUUAUCCGGAUUUAUUGGGUUGAAAGGGAGCGUAGGGGGAUUGUUAAGUCAGUUGUGAAAGUUUGCGGCUCAACCGUAGAAUUGCAGUUGAUACUGGCAGUCUUGAGUACAGUAGGGGUGGGCGGAAUUCGUGGUGUAGCGGUGAAAUGCUUAGAGAUCACGAAGAAUUCCGAUUGCGAAGGCAGCUCACUGGACUGCAACUGACACUGAUGCUCGAAAGUGUGGGUAGCAAACAGGAUUAGAUACCCGGGUAGUC
rnacentral:rRNA from 1 species